CAGCCGUAGAGUGAGUUCCAUCGGACCGCCGAUGGUGCUCGUUGCAGGCUCACGCCUGAAGCUGUAUUUUCGUGGCGAUUCGCAGCUUUAUCAGACACCUUUCCUGAUUAACCGCGACUGUCCAUAAGUCACGUGACUAAUGCCGUGCAGAACCUCGCAGGGCUUAGCUAAACGCCAUGCUAUACCGUAAAAGGAAACUUUCCACGUAAGGCUGGUUGAUCUCCCAUAGGCAGUGAACAAAGUGCCGCUUAUGCCCGGAACGAUUACCAUCUGACUGAAAUUACUGGUCGACUGCAAUUACCGGUCGAAAACUAUUAUACGCAGAGCGCAUGUGUAACAACCGCUCGGGUGAUCACAUGGGGAAAAAAAGUGUUGUAGGGUAAGAAGCGCACUGCUAGUACGUGUCCUGUUGAAUUUUGCAUUGUUGGCGACCGCGCGGAGCCGCAGAGAAAGUCGCCCUCGCUUUAAAAAUGCAAACCUGCAAUCUGUCGGAUCGCCGGGCGAAUUUGCGAGCGAUAAUACGCGCAAAAAUUAAAGCGCACAGCCGCCUGUGAAUAAUGAAACGUAAUGGCCGAUCGCUUCGUGCUGUGCGCAUGUGCGCCACGUGAAGAUGUUUGUCCAGCGCGAUAUUUUCCGGUAUUCUCGCACGUUUGAUCGUUCCACUCUAACGAAUCAACAUGUUUCGUGAAGCGAUGAAUAUAUUUGACAUCUCUAGAAUGAAUUUUAUGGUCUGCCGUUGUAUGCGCGUGUGUCUACCUGUAUAUUAUACGAUACGUGCGUGCCUGUGAAUAUUAGCACGCGUUCUGGAACGUAAAUUUCAAUAGGAAAUAGCGAGUAGACAAUACUGAGUCUUCAAAACAGUUGGGAAUACAUUUCACCCUUCCAGUCGGGUAAACGUUUAAAAAGAUGAGGAACAAAAACUUGGAUAUGAACUAAAUUACUUGCAGAAGACAAACAGGGAAGGCGAUAACGUAAAAGAAAUUGUAUCUUAUGCCGACAGAUUAGAUCGUAAAUAUGUGUAUUUGUUUUAAUUAAAGUAAAUGCUCUAUGCACGUUUUUAGUGCUUACAAAGUUUA